rnacentral:tRNA from 1 species
GCCUGGGUGGCUCAGUCGGUUGAGCGUCUGACUUUGGCUCAGGUCACGAUCUCACAGGUUCGAGCCCCGCGUCGGGCU